UUCUCCCCGAUCGGACUGGACUUUUCCUAGUCCCUGAGACCCUAACUUGUGAGGUUUUUGAGCAACGAUCACAAGUCAGGCUCUUGGGACCUAGGCGGAGUGGCCUCGUCGUCUCUGGGCCU
rnacentral:precursor_RNA from 13 species